GGCUCCUAGAAAUAACUAAUAUUUGGAGUCUUUGCCUGCCCAGUGACUAAAUGUUUAACGGCUGCGGUAUUCUGACCGUACAAAGGUAGCAUAAUCAUUUGCCUUUUAAUUGGUGGCUGGAAUGAAUGGCUGGACAAUGGUUACACUGUCUCUCUAAAAUAAAAUCUAAUUUGACUUUAAGGUGAAGAGGCCUUAAUAUAAAAGAAAGACGAGAAGACCCCAUAGAGCUUUUAAUUAAUAUCUUAGAGAUGAUUAUUAUUCUGAGGUGUGUUUUUUGGUUGGGGCGACCAUCGGAGAAGAGGCAUCCUCCGUUAAAAGUGACUAAAAAGACUAGUUCCACUAUUGAAGUGAACAAGGGAAAGCUACCUUGGGGAUAACAGCAUUAUUUUUCUUGAGAGCUCUAAUUGAAAGAAAAGAUUGUGACCUCGAUGUUGGACUAGGGUAACGAAGGGGUGUAGAAGCUUCUUAAGGUGAGUCUGUUCGACUAUUAAAACCCU
rnacentral:rRNA from 1 species